UACAGACGUUGACAAUGGCCCUUUCUCUGAACUCCAUCUCGUAGCUGACAGUAAUCCAAGGCCUGAAAUGUCGAACAAUAUUUUGCAGAUAAGUUAAGAAGAUCAUAGGGCCUCUGUAUUCGAGAAAUGCACACAACCAUAUUGUGCAGACAUAUCAAACUAAAAAACAAUUGCGAGCACUUUAAAAGAGGGCCCUCUAUUUCUGUUAUUUUUUAAUUCACCAUGACCACUUUGCGCACACGCAGAUGUAAUCAACAUAACAACAUCUGUAUUCAUCCACCUCUGAGAUGGAAAUCAGGAGCCAUAUUUGUGAACUCAUAAGUUAAUUGUGAACCAUCUCUUAAGCUUGUCUGCUGAAGUAAGCCACUGUUUUCAUGUUUCAAGAGGUCAAAUUUUCAUGCUGGUUCUAGUGAUAUUUUCAGCCUGGAAUUAUUUGUUAACAUACAGAUAUAAAAUCAUAUUGAUAGUAUAGGAGCUAAAUAUCUCAACCCUGUUUUACCGUAAAUGAUAUGGAUAUCAUACUCGUGUAUUCAGUGAUGGCCUAGUGUUCCUAUUUACUCUCCGAACUAUAUGUGCAAGGACAGAGCGAGAGCCAUGGGGAAAAACAAAAGAGGAUCAAUGUAGUGAGUUUGAGUGGUACAUGCAACAGUCUGGAACAUCAAAUUCAUUACGAUGAUACAACCACAAAUUACUGAACUUGCAUGUACAAACUUAUUAAGCUCUGUAGUUUCAUCACAAAUGUGUUGAAGCAGUCUGUAUAAAAAGUUCCUUACCUAUGGAGGAGCAUGUCUAGUUGUGGUGGUAGUCGGACUUGGAGCCAAAGGAGAUGAGGUCACGGCCCUUGUCGAGGACGACAUCUACCUUGCUCGCUCCCAACUUGCCACUGUCAAGGCCCACUUCAACAUCGAGCUCCCAACAACGCUAACUUUUUCCAUAUGAAAGAAGCAAAUAAUAUUUAACAACAAUAAAUUAUGUUCUCAAAUUCAACAUCCUUUAGAGCACCGGGGUCUCUAGCUGUCUGUCAAUCUGAAGUUCCAAACGGUCCAAUGCGAAAACCUCACAAAGUCACCACAAGCUUAUUUCCUGAUCUUUCGAUUCGAAAGAACUCCAAAGAAUUUCAGGUAACAUCGACCUGAUAAUGGAAACAAAGCUUGGAAAUGUCACAGCUAAUCGAUGGCAGAAUUAGUUUGAGAAAUAUAUAUAAAGAACAGAGGUUCUGGAAAUAUUUUAUAAACUGCCAGCGUCUAGGAUUCUGAUCUAAAAAAUAGAACACAUAAUGUUUCUGGUAUUUUAUUUUCUAUUAUUAAGGACUUGAGCCUCCUGACUCCUGUCAUGAAGUGGCUUGCAUGGACCUGAUGCAGGAACUUAACACAUUUGAUGUGCUUAAUAUUAAAGGACUGAUGUGCUUGAUGGCGAUUUGAACUACAUGUCUUUAUGUUAUUCAUCAUCAUAACCAUAAAAAAUUAUUAAAUUAGUAUAAAAUCACCCCUUCGAUGUGAAAAGCAUCUAAACAGAUGAUUGGCAAUAGUACUGCACAUAGCUAAAUUAUAUGGACUGGGUUGACCACUGAAGCCCAUGCUACAUUGUUGAUUCCAUCAUGUAGGCCUAAAUUCGCGUUGUUGGUGUGGUUGGGCAUUUCAUCUAACACCCGGAAGGACAUAGUUUAAUCAGUACAGAAUUUGGCCACCAACGAAUUUAGAGAGAAGCACUCAAAGAAUCAUGGAGAACGACACCAUACCGCCCCUGCCUCUGCCGCCACCACCCUCCUACACAAGUUAUUUUCAUCCUUAUACUUAUAAACCAGAGUCUGCAAUCUUAUGUAGUGAAAGGAAAAUCAAAAGAGGAGAAAAACAUAUUUCCAGAGCUCUUUGAUCCUUGAUGAAACAUUCUUAUUAUCUCUGAUAAACUUGUGUUCUCCAAUUUUAGUCUAACACUAUGAACUACCUCAUCAUACUGUUUUGAUAAACAAUACAAUUUUUUUUUGCUUUUGAAUAUGCUUGGAGAUGAAAACUGCUUGUUGCUAUUUAUUAAUAAUGGAAAUUGGUUAUGUACUGAUAAAGUGGUAGCACAUAAUACCUCCACCACAAGGAUUUUUAUCUGCAAGACAUCCGCAGAAUGUAAUUUGACAUUGUAUCCCCUGAAUAUGAAGGAUUGUUACUGUAUUAGUAAUCUGCAAGAGCACAAAUCGCCGCAUUCAUCAAUUGGAUAGUAAUCCACCAAAAAAUUCUGUUAUCACAAGAGAACACAAGGUACAGAAUAGAGUAGAGCACCCAUUUAUUAAAAGAAAACCAUGCCAAACUUUAAUAACCUGUAUAGAUGUAGCCACGGCUGGACAUGAAGUGGAGCAGGAGGAGCGCAAGAUGGAGAGGGAGAGGAGGCCCGCAGCAACAGUGGGGAACCAGAAGUGAUGGAGAAGCCAGCGCCCCCGGCCUCGCCUGGCCACCUCGACCCCGGCGACCCCCGCCAGAACCAGCUACCAAGUGCCGCCCUUCCUUCCUCCUCUCCCUCUCCUUCCUCUUGUUCUCUCCUUCCUCCAUCCCGUUCUCUCUCUUUCUCUCUGUUCGAACAGGAGGUACCGAGCCACCAUGCUCUUCCACAUCCGGAGCAUCCAUGCUGCGCCCAGCUAUGCCCAGUCGAACCUCGUUAACCCUAGCAAUCAGGAGGUCCUCCCGAUAGAG
rnacentral:lncRNA from 1 species